rnacentral:rRNA from 1 species
GGGGAAUUUUCCGCAAUGGGCGAAAGCCUGACGGAGCAAUACCGCGUGAGGGAGGAAGGCUCUUGGGUUGUAAACCUCUUUUCUCAAGGAAGAAAAAAAUGACGGUACUUGAGGAAUAAGCAUCGGCUAACUCCGUGCCAGCAGCCGCGGUAAUACGGAGGAUGCAAGCGUUAUCCGGAAUGAUUGGGCGUAAAGCGUCCGCAGGUGGCUAUGUAAGUCUGCUGUUAAAGAGUCUGGCUCAACCAGAUAAAGGCAGUGGAAACUACAUGGCUAGAGUGCGUUCGGGGCAGAGGGAAUUCCUGGUGUAGCGGUGAAAUGCGUAGAGAUCAGGAAGAACACCGGUGGCGAAAGCGCUCUGCUAGGCCGCAACUGACACUGAGGGACGAAAGCUAGGGGAGCGAAUGGGAUUAGAUACCCCAGUAGUCCUAGCCGUAAACGAUGGAUACUAGGCGUGGCUUGUAUCGACCCGAGCCGUGCCGUAGCUAACGCGUUAAGUAUCCCGCCUGGGGAGUACGCAGGCAACUGUGAAACUCAAAGGAAUUGACGGGGGCCCGCACAAGCGGUGGAGUAUGUGGUUUAAUUCGAUGCAACACGAAGAACCUUACCAGGACUUGACAUGUCGCGAAUUUCUGUGAAAGCAGAAAGUGCCUUCGGGAGCGCGAACACAGGUGGUGCAUGGCUGUCGUCAGCUCGUGUCGUGAGAUGUUGGGUUAAGUCCCGCAACGAGCGCAACCCUCGUUUUUAGUUGCCAGCAUUAAGUUGGGCACUCUAGAGAGACUGCCGGUGACAAACCGGAGGAAGGUGGGGAUGACGUCAAGUCAGCAUGCCCCUUACGUUCUGGGCUACACACGUACUACAAUGCUACGGACAAAGGGCAGCAAGCAUGCGAAUGCAAGCUAAUCUCAUAAACCGUGGCUCAGUUCAGAUCGCAGGCUGCAACUCGCCUGCGUGAAGGAGGAAUCGCUAGUAAUUGCAGGUCAGCAUACUGCAGUGAAUUCGUUCCCGGGCCUUGUACACACCGCCCGUCACACCAUGGAAGCUGGUAGUGCCCGAAGUCAUUACCCCAACCGCUUGCGGAGGGGGAUGCCUAAGGCAGGACUGGUGACUGGGGUGAAGUCGUAACAAGGUAGCCGUACCGGAAGGUGUGGCUGGAUCACCUCCU